GCAAUCGGGAGCUGGUCCUCUUUCACCUCCUCCUCCUCCUCCUCCUCCUCCACCACCACCACCGCCAAUGUCAGGAGCUGUGCCCCCUCCUCCUCCUCCUCCACCACCACCCCACAUUGGUACCUCUGGCAGUGUGCCGCCACCUCCUCCACCCCCUCCUGUACACUAACUCUACUUUCUUCUUCCUGGAGUAACACAGAUUUCUUGGCAGUCAAUACAAUGAGCAGGCAUGCUGGGUUUUGCCAUCAGAUCAUUGUGGGCAGCAUGGGAAGAGUUUUUGAGCUUGUUGUGAGAUCAACAUUAAGCAUAAAUAAAAGCUUUAAAAAGUGUGCGUGUCAUGGUUUAAACUUGAGCUGUGUAAUCUGUGUUGGCAGGGUGAGUUAAAAACGUAUUUGUUUUUUUGUUUUUCUUGUUUUUUUGUUUUUUUUUUCCAGGACAGAAAAUUCUUGUUUUGCUGCAGUUGAGAUACCUCAGCAUGUUUCAACAACACCUCAACUGCAUUCCUCAUCAACAAGCUGCAACAGGGACUCUUGUGUUUCCCUGAUCUCCUUUCCCUUUUAUUUUUUUUACUGUUUUGUGAUCUUUUUUUCUUAUUACAUCUUUGUCUUGUUUAUUAGUGUCUCUUAAUCAGCAACGACCACCUUAAGAGCAAGUGCAUUUAGCCCAUUUUACUAUGUGGUGACUGAUGUGUACGUCAUCAGCUGUAACCUCAAACCUCAGUGAGUUCUGCUAGUUUAAACAGGUCAUUCAGGCUAUAGAAUGGCUGUUGUAAGUCUACACUUUACAUAACCUGCUUUACACGCCUUGUACUUGGAGGUAAGCUUCAUUUUAUGCAAGGAGAUUAUAAAAUUGCUCAAGGACAGCCUAUCCAAGAUUGUUAUCAAUUGUUAUUUUCCUAAAUGUUACACACUUGUCCAGAAUGGCCUGAAGCUGGAAGACCAGCCUCAUUGUGCAUCAGGGAAAUGAAAUCUUUUGCUGCUGUCUCUAAUUGCUGUCUAGUUUUACUUUAAUCUAUUAAAAUUCAAGUCUGUAAACCAACAUCCCAUAAUAGCUAUACUUAGCGGUUACAGUUUUAACUUUGAACUGGAGUGUCACGCAGACAAAGAUGCCAUUCUGUGUAAGAACAAAAUCUACUGCAUUAGCUAUACUUUCCAGCAUUGUGUAGCUUUCUCACAGUAAUUACAUCUGCCUUAAAAGUGCUCUGUUUAUGCCAGUGUGAGUAAGAGAUAUGAAGAGAUAAAGAGCUACCUUUGAACUUUCCAUGUAUGAAUGUAUUGUAAAACUAAACAUAAAAUUGCAUGGCAAACAGUAAAAUAGAGUUACAGUCUUAAGGUUUAAAACCAGAUCCUCUAGAGUGACAAAGCCUCUUCAUUUUUCUCUUCAGUAUCCUUCGGUGUUAAACCUGAUUUAAAAAAAUAUAACUGCCAUGGUCUUUUUUUAUCCUUCAAUUGAGAUUCCCUUCUUGUGUUUUUGCAUCGUUCUGUGGAUUUUAUGUUGCCAUUUUACAAAGAACAGCAGUGAAGCCGAGGACUCUCCCCUGGGGACCACCAACUCUGUAUACAUCAUCCCCAUAUAUGAGGAGGAGUCGCGAGAAGAAGAAGUAAUGGACGAGCUUGAACCACCACCAUAUCCAGGCCCACCACCAUCAUACACAGACCCUCCUCCUUAUUCAGAGCAAACCUGAUCUUCGUUAUUCCUGAGCUUACUCCUCCUCCUCUUCCUCACACCCUGCUAGCCUGAACAUAAUGUACUUUUUAAUCACAUGGCAGGUCUACGGAUUUAAACCGAGACUCAGAUUUUGACACUGUGGUUAUAUUUCAACAUUUGCAAACCUGUAUGCACAUUUGAUGUCAAAAUAAAAUAAGUUCACAAAUUAUAUCAAUGGUGAGCAAAGAAAACACAAAAUUAUAAAGUUGCAGCAGCAAACUGUGAAACUCAAAGUUGCCACUGUGACUGACACUGAACAAGUUUCAGCCCCACAUUUACAGCCAAAACUAGGACCAAAAUUUGCUAUUUCUAUGCACUGUCUGUAAAUGCUCUUUCUGAUGUGAACCUGGACCCAGAUUUUUUAAAAACCCAAAGCUGAUAUUUCUCAGCAGCUCUUUUCUUGAAUUUCUCAUGAGGAGUUUUGGCACUAGUUUUCUGAAUAUUAUUUCACAAGUUUUAACUCUUUUGGAUCCUUACCAAACCUUAACCUUUUAAUGCAUGUGAUGCAUGUGAUUAUACCUUUCACUUGAGACAUAUACAUACAGGAUUAAUUUGGCUGGAAACAAUCCACUAUGUGGAAAGGAGAAUUUUUAUUUAACUUAUUUUAUCUUGCUUAAUUUUACAAAACUCAGUAAAAACCCUACUGAACAGUAUGCAUGUGUGGACAAUUUAAGUGGAAAAGUAUUUGAGUGAAGUCACUUGGAAGUUAUUAUAAUACUUUGUUAUUUUAUUCAGCUGAUGUCCAUUGUAUGAAAUUUAUACUCGAAUACAAUAAAUUUAAAAGUGUGAUCAUACACUAUAUAGACAAAAGUAUUUACUUUACUUAUUUCCAGUGAAGGGAAAUUUUAAUGCUUCAGCAUACCAAGACAUUUUGGACAAUG